UGUUUGGUUAGAGUAGCAAACUAGGAGC
rnacentral:piRNA from 1 species